rnacentral:rRNA from 1 species
GACGAACUGUCCAAACGUUGUUCGGAAUCACUGGGCUUAAAGGGCGCGUAGGCGGUCGAUCAAGUCAGGGGUGAAAUCCUGCAGCUUAACUGUAGAAGUGCCUUUGAUACUGAUCGUCUGGAGGGAGAUAGGGGUGUGUGGAACUUCCAGUGGAGCGGUGAAAUGCGUUGAUAUUGGAAGGAACGCCGGAGGCGAAAGCGACGCACUGGAUCUCUUCUGACGCUGAGGCGCGAAAGCUAGGGGAGCAAACGGG